UGGCGGACGGGUGAGUAACGCGUGGGAAUCUACCCAGUAGUGGGGGACAACUACCGGAAACGGUAGCUAAUACCGCAUACGCCCUAUGGGGGAAAGGCUUCGGCCGCUAUUGGAUGAGCCCGCGUCAGAUUAGCUAGUUGGUAGGGUAAAGGCCUACCAAGGCAACGAUCUGUAGCUGGUCUGAGAGGACGAACAGCCACACUGGGACUGAGACACGGCCCAGACUCCUACGGGAGGCAGCAGUGGGGAAUAUUGGACAAUGGGCGAAAGCCUGAUCCAGCAAUGCCGCGUGUGUGAAGAAGGCCUGCGGGUUGUAAAGCACUUUCAGUUGGGAAGAUGAUGACGUCACCAACAGAAGAAGCACCGGCUAAAUCCGUGCCAGCAGCCGCGGUAAUACGGAUGGUGCGAGCGUUAAUCGGAAUUACUGGGCGUAAAGCGCGCGUAGGCGGCUAAGUCAGUCAGAAGUGAAAGCCCCGGGCUCAACCUGGGAAUUGCUUUUGAUACUGCUUAGCUAGAGUUUGGUAGAGGAUAGUGGAAUUCCAGGUGUAGCGGUGAAAUGUGUAGAUAUCUGGAGGAACAUCAGUGGCGAAGGCGACUGUCUGGACCAAAACUGACGCUGAGGUGCGAAAGCGUGGGUAGCAAACAGGAUUAGAUACCCUGGUAG
rnacentral:rRNA from 1 species